CCUCGAGCAACUUUCGGUGACUUUAGCUGAUAUUCCAUUCCCCGGAUGAACUCUGAAUACACAAUAGAGCCUGAAGCUCCGGACGUGGUAGAGAAGUCCCCAUCUCCCGGCUCCCGGUACCCCCGAUUUAUUUUUAUAAGGGGAGAUAAGAUAGAGGAGAUUAGCCUCAGUGACAAAGUCGCUACAGAGAAUACAUUGGGAAAAUGGGCAGCAGAAGCUUUAUUCAAGCACACAGAUAACACAAAACACAGCUACAGGAAGAAUUUUUGUAGAAAAAAAUGUUCUCACUACCUUACAGAGCUCAAAAGGGUCUUCUGAUCCAAGAUUAUUAAUUUCUAUUUGUAGUUUCAUCCGUGUAAUGAAGAUAACAGCAUCAAUUUCACAUGGAUGUUCAGAGGAUCCAGUGAAAUCUUAAAGUGCUUCGAAAAUCCUAAAGAGCGAUAUAAAUGUUAGCCAGUAUUAUUAUGCAGGAUGUAAAAUAGAUAGAAAUCCAUAGGAAAUGACCUCUAGAAAAUGCGAGGCCCUGGGCAAAAGGAAAAAAAAAAACCAAUGGGAGACUGGAAGGAAGCUGUCUCUAUAAGCAAUUUUAUUUAAAGUGUAUUUCAAAGUCCAAAGGUCUUUUUAAGGUAUAGUGAUUAAUUGAUGACGAUUUACAAUAAUUAGCUUGAAGCUAACCUUUGUACAAGUAUUGGGAUUUAAACCACUAGACUAGAUAGAAUUGAAAUGACUAUAAAUCUGGCUUACUAGUAGUCCCCAGGACCAAGCGCCAUUACAAUUACAUGCAACAUGCAGAGUGAAUCUCCCCCAUCCUCUUGGCUAUUCAAAACACUAAACCAAGAUAUUCCAGGAAAAUGAUUCAGACUUUGACGACUCACUUAUACCUACACUGCCAAAAGUCCAAUGUGCCUCAAAUAUCUAUAGCUUCAUUUUCAGAAAGUGUUUUUAACACCAUUGGAACCUCAUUCAAUAUCAUAGCAGCCAGAAGUUAAAAUACACAGAAUGGAAUACUAUCACAUUCCAAGAAAAAAUGGAAUAUGUUGUCCUUUUUACAGCAGCAAUGUGUCAAAGAAUUUAUAAAUCACAGUG
rnacentral:lncRNA from 1 species